AGCCUGAUCCAGCCAUGCCGCGUGUGUGAAGAAGGUCUUCGGAUUGUAAAGCACUUUAAGUUGGGAGGAAGGGCAGUAAGUUAAUACCUUGCUGUUUUGACGUUACCAACAGAAUAAGCACCGGCUAACUUCGUGCCAGCAGCCGCGGUAAUACGAAGGGUGCAAGCGUUAAUCGGAAUUACUGGGCGUAAAGCGCGCGUAGGUGGUUCGUUAAGUUGGAUGUGAAAGCCCCGGGCUCAACCUGGGAACUGCAUCCAAAACUGGCGAGCUAGAGUAUGGCAGAGGGUGGUGGAAUUUCCUGUGUAGCGGUGAAAUGCGUAGAUAUAGGAAGGAACACCAGUGGCGAAGGCGACCACCUGGGCUAAUACUGACACUGAGGUGCGAAAGCGUGGGGAGCAACACAGGAUUAGAUACCCUGGUAGUCCACGCCGUAA
rnacentral:rRNA from 1 species